rnacentral:rRNA from 1 species
UACGUAGGUGGCGAGCGUUGUCCGGAUUUACUGGGCGUAAAGAGCGCGCAGGCGGUCGUGCAAGUCGCGUGUGAAAGCCCCCCGGCUCAACUGGGGAGGGUCACGCGAUACUGCUCGACUCGAAGGCAGGAGAGGGAAGUGGAAUUCCCGGUGUAGUGGUGAAAUGCGUAGAUAUCGGGAGGAACACCAGUGGCGAAGGCGACUUCCUGGCCUGUUCUUGACGCUGAGGCGCGAAAGCUAGGGGAGCAAACGGGG